CGGUGUUCAACUGGCGUGCCCGCGGGACGUCCUGCCGGUGAGCUCAGCCCGCGAGGGCGGCUCAACUUGAAAUCCCAUCGCGGUGCUCUUCAUUGAGUGUCGAGGUGGGCCGGCACGAUUACUUUUGAACAAAUUAGAGUGCUUAAAGCAGGCUAAAAUUUGCCUGAAUACUGUGUAUAUGGAAUAAUGGAAUAGGACCUCGGUUCUAUUUUGUUGGUUUUCGGAACCCCGAGGUAAUGAUUAAUAGGAACGGAUGGGGGCAUUCGUAUUGCGACGUUAGAGGUGAAAUUCUUGGAUCGUCGCAAGACGGACUAAAGCGAAAGCAUUUGCCAAAAACGCUUUCAUUGAUCAAGAACGAAAGUUAGAGGUUCGAAGGCGAUCAUAUACCGCCCUAGUUCUAACCAUAAACUAUGCCAGCUAGCGAUCCGCCGACGCCCCUCUGAUGACUCGGCGGGCAGCUUCCGGGAAACCAAAGCUUUUGGGUUCCGGGGGAAGUAUGGUUGCAAAGCUGAAACUUAAAGGAAUUGACGGAAGGGCACCACCAGGAGUGGAGCCUGCGGCUUAAUUUGACUCAACACGGGAAACCUCACCAGGCCCAGACACUGGAAGGAUUGACAGAUUGAGAGCUCUUUCUUGAUUCAGUGGGUGGUGGUGCAUGGCCGUUCUUAGUCGGUGGAGCGAUUUGUCAGGUUAAUUCCGAUAACGGACGAGACUCUGACCUGAUAACUAGACGCACUUGCGGCAUCUCAAAGGUCCGCCGGCGGCUGGCUUUGCGCCCGUCGUCGCGCGCGAUUUUUACUGCCGGCGUACAAUAAAUUCUUCUUAGAGGGACAAGUGG
rnacentral:rRNA from 1 species